rnacentral:rRNA from 1 species
GAACGCUGGCGGCGUGCCUAAUACAUGCAAGUCGAACGGUCUUUCUAUGGAAGCUUGCUUCCACUGAGAAGAUAGUGGCGAACGGGUGAGUAACACGUGGGUAACCUGCCCAUAAGAGGGGGAUAACAUCCGGAAACGGGUGCUAAUACCGCAUAGUUUUCUUGAUCGCAUGAUCGGGAAAGGAAAGACGGCCUUUGUGCUGUCGCUUAUGGAUGGACCCGCGGCGUAUUAGUUAGUUGGUGAGGUAACGGCUCACCAAGACGAUGAUACGUAGCCGACCUGAGAGGGUGAUCGGCCACAUUGGGACUGAGACACGGCCCAAACUCCUACGGGAGGCAGCAGUAGGGAAUCUUCCGCAAUGGACGAAAGUCUGACGGAGCAACGCCGCGUGAGUGAAGAAAAGGUUUUCGGAUCGUAAAACUCUGUUGUCAGAGAAGAACAAGUUGGAGAGUAACUGCUCCAGCCUUGACGGUAUCUGACCAGAAAGCCACGGCUAACUACGUGCCAGCCGCCGC